UCCCUGGUGGCUCAGAUGGUAAAGAACUCGUCUGCAAAUGCAAGAGACUCGGGUUCGAUUCCUGGGUCGAGAA
rnacentral:tRNA from 1 species